rnacentral:lncRNA from 1 species
CUCUGCUUCAAUUCAGCAACAUCAGGUAAUGUUCAUUUGUUGAUUAAUGGUUUUCUUUCGUUUUUGAUCUACUGCUGAAUAUUUUUAUAAAAUCGUUUUUCUGUUUUAGCGUCAGCUACGUUGACACAAAGACAUCUGCUGUGAUGCUUACACCUUAGAUAAAGUCUCGAAAGUGUCAGCUUUCUUUUUUUAGUUAUAAAAAUAUGCAAAUGUACUGAUCGAUGAUCUGAAUUAUACUAUUGACUGACUGUCUGAGGCUAACAGUUACACAAUCAUACCAAAACUCUGUCCUGAUAGUUUCCACUUUCUCUUUUGUAUCAGACAUACUGAGACAAUAUUCGGGAUAAAUAACCACGAAAACAAUUUAUUUAUUCAGUUUAGAGGUUUACACAUCACAUCAAUACAAUCACAGAGCCCGUUUCACUUGAAUCGUCCACUUGAUGGCGCAGUAGAGCAAAUGAAUCAUCACAAUGCUUCGAAACAUGAGUCGACCAGUUGGAUGGAAAGCUUCAGUUCAUCACGAGUGUCUUUCCAUAUGAAGUGGACGUUUCUUUUCUAAAUAAACAGAACAGCUUUUAAACACUUUACUAGAAAUUUUACAUUUACCAAACACAAAUCAACUUUUCUAGUUUAUUUAAAAACAAUCCUUUUUAUUUGGAUAAAAACGGGUAUACGGAGGAAGGUCACAAGUCCCAGUUUUACACUGGGACAUGAACGCAGCUUCCGUUUGGGGACUCGGGACGACGUCAUCAACAAGCGCCACAAGAGCUCUUCACAAAAAUCUGCCUGGUUUCAGGUUAGUCGGCUCACAUUUAGAACCCUCGACACAGAAGAGACUGCAACGCUAGUGUGGACCUGAUAGCAAAACCAAUCGAUGCUUGUAUCGAUCCGCUCAGCCUGAGUUGAAGCAGCAAUGAGUUCAGUUCAGUAUCUGAGAGAGUUCAUCAAGGAGAGACUAACUGCUGUUUGUGAAGAAAUCUUCUCAGAGGUUCAAAAAACCAUCGUCCAGUAUGAGGAGGAGAUCAACCGUCAGCACAGACUGCUGGAUAUCAGCCGGAAACCCGACAGAAACUCACACAUCAUAGACCUCCCACAUCAUCAUGACUGUGAAGAAGAGGAGGGUCUGUAUGAGCAGCAGGUCUGUAACCAGGAGAGUAACUCCAGUCUGGACCAGGAGGACCCAGAGCCUCCACAGGUUAAAGAGGAACAGGAGGAGCUCUGCAGAAGUCAGGAGGGAGAGCAGCUUGGACUGAAGCAGGAGGCUGAAGGCAUUAUUGUCUGGACUGAUGAAGAGCAGCUCAGACUGAUGGAGACCAUCUGGGAACCUGUGAUAAAGUUACACAGAAUAGUUCUCGGCGUCUCGUGUGCUUCUUCUUCUUUCUCUUCACACAAAGUCGUAGAAGUUUUCAGACGUGUCACAGCUGGAUGUGAGGAUGGGACCCACUUUCCUCUGUGAGCUGGGCCUAUUCUGUGAGUGCAUCACUUCUUCCUUUGAUUCAUGCUGACUGAUGAACAUGUUUUAGUAAAAUGACAGAGUUUCAGUCAUUUGCAGCAUUUCAGUUCAUGUUUUGU